AAAAGGCAUGGUCCCGACCUUACUAUCAGCUGUAACACAAUUUACACAUGCAAGUCUCCGCCACCCAGUGAGUAUGCCCUCAGUCCCCCGCCCGGAGACGAAGAGCGGGCAUCAGGCACAAUCGUUAGCCCAAGACGCCUAGCCAAGCCACACCCCCAAGGGGAUUCAGCAGUGAUUAACAUUAAGCCAUAAGUGAAAACUUGACUCAGUUAGUGUUAAUAGGGCCGGUAAAACUCGUGCCAGCUACCGCGGUUAGACGAGAGGCCCUAGUUGAUAUUACAACGGCGUAAAGGGUGGUUAAGGACAAACAGAUUUUUAAAGCCAAAGGGCCCCUUGGCCGUCAUACGCUCCUGGAAGCUCGAAGCCCAAUACACGAAAGUAGCUUUAAUAAA
rnacentral:rRNA from 1 species